GAGACACCUUGAUGGGGCAGGACUUGCUUCAGUGGGGCUUUGGAGCUCACUGAGUCUCUCCCCUGAGUGUUUCUUU
rnacentral:pre_miRNA from 1 species